GUGGCUGUGACUGUCCGCCCUCACAACGGCCCGUUUUCUUCCCAGUGCUCUGAACUUUUGGGCAAAUGUGUCAAGUGUGUACACAGACAAAGCCUCACUUCAAAGCUCGUGUUCAGGGCCCUUAAAGUCAUAGUUAUUGCAAAACUGCGGCCGUCUGGCGAACCUGCCUUAUGUAAGGGUGCUUGAACGUAUGAUUCACCAAACAUUUCCGCAGACAUCGCAAAGUUGUUGGAGCCAGAGUAGGAGAAAGACCACCCAUUUGAGAUCAUGGCUUGACAGGGAACACUCCCUCCUGCCACCAGAAUGGGACCAAUCUAGACAUCUCUUCUCUGGCUUCCUUGUGCCUGGCCUUUUUUGGAGGGUUGGGAUAGUGGCCUGUCUUCAUGCAUGGUGAGAUAACACCAACAUCGAAGGAAGAUCUUUGCCACAGAGGAUCCUAGUUCCAGCUCCCAGAAUGACACUUUAACGGGAAAUCAUCUGAUUUUCUUUUUCUGGACGUGAGACUAAUGGAAGUUUUCAUGUGAGUGUCCAAAGAGAUGAUCUUGGAGUCUGGGAUACAACCAAGGAAGCAGCACGUCUGCCUGCACAUUAUGAUGCCUCCCACCAUGAUGACAAUGGACUAAAACCUCUGAAACUGUCCGGCUUGUUUGAUGUGGGAGCUAAGUCGGUCUAUACUGGUCUAACACAAAGCGAACACCCCAAGCGGGCCUGGACUAGAGAGGCUACCUGAACUGUGGCGUGCUUAAAGCAGUACCACAGAGAUGGGAGGCACCCAAGAGUCUUUGCCCCAUCAGGUGCUGCAAGAAACCUCUUCACUGAGCAGUUUAUAAACAAGUGUACUCCUCAGAGUCUGGAGGAAGGAGGUCUAAGAUGUAUCGGCCCCAACGCCUCCUAUCUUGUGGAUCGAGUUCCUGUGGAGGAAGCUAACACAGCGGUAAGCAAAUGUGGACUGACAGAGGACACAGGGCCAUUCGAGAAACUGUCAGAAACUGAGAAUCACCUCAGAACACGCUGAGAAGGAGAGCUAAGGAGGUGAGGCCUGGGUUGUGGGAGGUUGGCACCUGACAGCAGUGGUUCCCACUGCUGGGUUCUCUUCUGGUUUUGAUUGUCUACGCUCAGGCUUCAGAGCCCUGGGCAUGAGAAAAAAAAAGGGAGAAUGAAUACGUUAGUAUUCCAUGAAGGCAUAGAAGCAGGUAUGUGGGAAUGGCUGUCGUUCCAUCUUCUGGGUAGUCAUGGCUGUCAGGUGGGAGGCCCAGGGAGAGCCAGUGUCCCGUCAGUCAAAACCAUGGCAGGGUGGCUUACAUUCUAUCUCAGAUAAAUUCUUUUUGUUUGGUAGAGAAGCAUUCUCUCUGCUCUAUUUCAGCUUCGGUUAAAUGGACUACGAGGACCCACGUCAUAGAGGGAAGUCUGUCUCACUGAUUCUGAUUUUUUUCAAAUAAAAUGUUUUCUUU
ensembl:lincRNA 4933406C10Rik RIKEN cDNA 4933406C10 gene